UUUGGUUUGAACUGUUGUAGUCCUUGCUUAUAAGAAAGCAGUGUUGGCUAAUUUCAUGGACUUGUGCAGUGUGCCCCCCAUCUUCGAGUGUUCCGCCCGGUUCACUAGGUUGUUGCCUUACCAAGCACUUGCUUGCUGCUCCUAUUGGCGUGCGGAGCAUUCAUUAUCCCGACUUCUCUCUGCUGGGCCCUUCCUGCAUUGAAUAAAGGACAAUUAUUUAGUGCGAUAUUUUAGUACGUUGAAUAAUUGUCCUUUCCAGGUAUAGAUAUGACGACCAAGCGCUCAAAGGACUUCUUUGAAUUUGCCCUUUGUUUUUCCAACUAAGAAAGACAUGGUAGUUGCAAUGCAACACAUGACUUAAGAUCUUGAACAAGGAUAGGCUGAACACGAACCCAAUAUCGAAGAACUAAAGAGGAAGCUAGUUGAUCAUUCAACUAUGUGAAUCUACCCUAGGAUCCAACCUGCCAACUUUCUUCGCUUAUGAUAUUUCAAAUAGCGAGACAUAUCAAGUGUUGAAUAUUUCGAAUAAAGAGAAAUAAUGGGGAAUAGAAUACAAGUGUUGAAUACCAACGCCUACUCUUGUGAAAGGUGGGCCUGGCAUCUUUUCUUUGAGAUAGAAGGUGAAAGUCCUUGUUGGUGUGACAGUAUGAGUAGAAGGUGCAUGGUUAUCCUUUUGGUUGAAAGGUACUUGUCAUACCUUAAAUCCACGUGAUCGCCAUCUGAGCAAACCAAACUCGUAUGGUGCACCCCGACCAUAUGCAUUUGAACCAUCACGGAAGUGAUUUGAAGCUUUUAUACAUUUUCAAAUCAAUCAUGAAACGUUAUCAACAUUAAAACCAUACAUGAAUCAUUUCAUAAAGAUAAUAAAAUAAAAAAUAAAAUAAAUGUGUUUCCUUGUAUGUCAUAGUCACUCCCAUUAUUACGACACAACACAACCAUCUAUGGAACCUCUAUACAACGGAAUAAAAUUAAACUCUUGGCUAGAUUUUCGACUAAAGAAAAGAAGAAGGGACAUACUAGCUACCACAAGUAUCAUUGACUCUUAAAUCAUCUCACUUCAGCCCUGUUCACUCAUCACGUAUCAUGCCUCAUUCUUAAAUAUGGAAAAUAGAGGGCCCUAAAGAGGGAUGAGUACACCUAUCACAGUACUCAAUUAGUAUCAUUGACCUUCUCACAAAAAGUUGGCAAAGAGGUGGAAUCAAUUGAAGAGGAGGCUCGACCCACAGGGGAGAGUUGUGCAGGCGAUUCCAAAAGUUGAAUCGAUAAUUGAAGCAAAUCAAGUAUUAUUUGAUAUAAAACAAAAUGUUAAUAUAAUAACAACAUAUUUUACUUUUGCGAUGGCGGAUCUAGUGUAAAUUUAUUUCAACUCAACCUUAUAAACUUGUUAAUUCCAUUCAAAAAAUAAAAUUAAAAAGGGCAGCCCGGUGCACUAAAGCUCCUGCUAUGCGCAGGGUUCGGGGAAGGGCCCCAUCACAAGGGUUUAUUGUACGUAGACUUACAUUGCAUUUCUUCCUGAGGCUGUUGGAAGGCUUGAACCUGUGACCUCCUGGUCCAUUCACAAAAUAAUUUGUAUAAAAUUAUACAAUCCCAUUCCAAUUGAAUAAAAUCAUAAUAGUCGCUUUCGGCUCCUUAGGUCUAAAUGUAUUCAAAUCUUCCAUACUUUCCACUAGGAGUACUAUAUCAACGCCGACACAAGAUCCAAGCUCAAAUAUGUUAUCAACAUAGCGACAAGUAUUAUAUAACCUACUUGCUCAGGUCAUCUCAUCGAAGUGCCACAUGAAUUGACUCAGCUAUGCUAUUAUAGCACAAUACUAGUAACCUCUCAUGCGGGCACUCUGUCGUAGCCCUUUACCAUUAGGUAGAAUCUACACAUACAUCGACGGGUGUAGCUUCAUGGCGUCGGCGAGUUUUAGCCGAAGUCAAUCUCGGUGAACACAAGUAACUCUCAAAAUAUUUAAAUAUGAAACAAAUAAAUUUAUGGCCUAGUAGCCUUAAAAGAUCUACUUAUAUCAAAUCAUGACGUUAAUAACCAAUCCAACUCAUUAGAUAGAUUUAAAUGUAAAAUCUUCUCCUCAAAUUAUCAAAGCAUUGUCAAAUGAAGAUUUAAGACUCAAAAUAUUCAAUAAGUGCUAUUUCAAAUCAUGUGGCUUUUAGAAGCAUAAAUACUAAUGAGUUUAAAUUAUUUAAAGCAAAUAACACUUUGAUGAAAAAUUUCAAAUCAUUCAUGUAGCAUUCUCAACUUUAAAACCAUACAUGAAUCAUUUCAUAAGAAUAUUAAAUUAAAACUAAAAUAAAUGUGUUUCCAUGUAUGUCACGUGCAUUCCCAUUAUUGUGACCUAACACAGCUAUCUAUGGAUCCUCUAUACAAUGGAAUAAAAUUAAAAUCUUGGGACAAAUUUCCGGCGAAAGAAAAGAAGAAAGAACAUACAAAUUACAUACACAUGUCUACUUUAGUUUGAUCCAUUUAGUUCAAUGUAUGAUCGUACUUUCUCAUUUUCAGCCAACACUUAAAUUUAACUCAAAUCACACACGUUCCAAAGUUGUAAAGGUUUAUCCAAGUUGACUAUUAAAUCCUUGACUACUAGAUAAUACUUUCAACCUCGAUGCAGAAUAUCAUAUCUAUAACUCAUAAUGAACGUGUGAUUUUCGUACAAGCACUUUAUGGUAAUUAUAUACCCAUUUCAUCAUGAAGGUUACCAAUGGCUUUCCUUUGUCUUGUUUCUGGUAUCUAGAGUCUUUCGUUUCUUCACCAUUUCAUCAUGAAGGUUACCAAUGGUUUUCCUUUGUCUUGUCUGUGGUAUCUAGAAUCUUUCAUUUCUUCACCAUCAUCUUAAGGUGACUUUAUUGAGAAAUAAUAUGAUAGUUGAACUUUUUAAGGUAAUAUGAUUUAACAUGCUUGAAUAAGACAUCGCAAUCUAAAGUACAUAUACUAGUCAUGCUAAAUCAAAAAAGGAAAACAAAUUGGGAUGAAGGUUCUUUGAAGUUUUGGCAUUUCCAUUACAAUGUAGUGAUAUUCAACUUUCCUUUGAAAUUUUUAGUUGCUAAUUCCAUGCAUGUUUCUUACUGUUAAUUGCACUUUUAAACUCCAUCUUACUCAUGCUAAAUCAAAAAAGGAAAACAAAUUGGGAUGAAGAUUCUUUGAAAUUAUGGCAUUUCCAUGGAAAUUGUCAUAUUCAACCUUGCUUUGAUAGUUUUAAACUCUAUGUUCCCCACAUAAGACCAUAUUACAAGGUAAUUAUGAAAUUUAUGACAGAUUUAUACAGUCAAAAUUGAAAUAUUAUUGGUAAUCAGUACCUUAGUCUAAGUUUUUGAUUUUACGGAAUCCUUGUAAGAUCAUCAAGGACUCACUUUUGCUUUCCUUUUCGAACUGUAGAUUUGGCUGCAGCACUGCCUUCAUGCUGAUAUUUACAUAUAUAGCCAGUCAGUGUUCCUUGAAAAAGAAGAGAACUAAAAAACAAUAUUAGUGGCAGGUUAGGAUAAUCAAGUUCACAAAAACAAUAUGUCGAGAUUCUACUAGUGGUCCAACUGCAGAUUCAAGAGCAGGAAAAUGUUUUGUGUUUCUUAUCUUAUCAAAUCACUUAUUCAAUAUCUCAUCUUUCCUGUAGUUAAGACAUUUCAAGAUCAGCAGAUCAUGCUGAACCAAAAAAUGGUGAUUGUGAUGUGAUGCAUGUCAUCGUUCACUAACUAGUUUUUUUUUUUUUUUAAAUGAUUAUCUCUGUUCUAAUCGGCCGAUGUCAUGGUUACUAUUUUUUUAAAAAGCGCCCCUGUUUUGUAAAAGUGCAUCCAAGGAUCACACUUGGUGGUUUUUGGUUGCAUCUGAUUUGCUAAUUGAGCUUUUGAGGAUCAUAGCAGUACACCACAGAGGCAGCUAAAUGUUGAGUUAUUUAUUACUACUUGACAAUUGUUCCCCACUUUUGAAGGUAGAGCGGACAUGAAGAGAAGUGAUUUUGGGCUGUUACUGUAUAGUUUUUUCCAAGGAGAUAUUUUAAGUGUGUAGUGUAAAGAACAUGUCAAAUUGGCAUGCUUUCAGUUUUACUUAUCAAGAACAUUGACAUGCAUUAGUUUUUUUUCCCAAUUUUGCCUUUAGCAAGUUUGCAUAUUUUACCAUGCACAGGUAAAACUUUUUCUAGAAGAGGAUUGUCCAUCAAAAGUCGGUUGGGGAUCUCAACAUCAUCUUCAGUUAAAGAGGACGCCUCCGAGUAUUAUUAGAAAAUCAUCUGAAGGAAGACAAUGUCUGAAGCAGUCAAAAGAGAAGCUUUCAUACCUAUCUCUGGCUAAAUGGAAAUGCCCUCCCAAGGUAAGCUAAGUUUUAGAUGAUAGGAGGUGCCUUUAUAUGCGUAGUUUCUUGACACAUUGUCAUAAUAGCCCAUUUAAUGUUGUUAUUGGUAGUUUAAUUUGGAUGCGGAGUGGCGUGUGGUUGCUGGUGAAGAAAGUAAAGAAGCAGAGGAUCAGGAGCAUAGGGAAAAGAGAGUUUCUGAGGUGGUUUAUCCUUCUUGGUCUACAAUUCCUCCGAAGUAUGUAAUUUUUGGACUAUGUCUUUCUAGUUUAGAGCUUCUUUGUCUCAUUUACUUGGUUUUAAUCCCUUGUUUCUCCUAUUGGCGUAUAGUCCUUACAUCUCGUCGGAUCUGAAGCAAUAUUAUGAUGAUAACCAAACUCCAGUGAUUCGAAUCACUCCCAUUGAAGAAGCAGAUGUAGAAGCUCCAUUCCAUUUAACACCACCCCAAACCAUAAGCAGCAAAUCGCCAGGUGCGUGUCUACCCAACAGUCCAUCAUCAUCUGUCAGUAUAGUUACUUCUCAAAAGCUACCUGAUAAUGGAAAAUCGGUUCCCCAGUCUUUGUCAACCUUCCCAAAUCCCAAGAAACUUCCAAGCAACUCUCCUUUUUCUGUAAGAUGGCCUUAUAAUGUGCAAUCUGCUUCUCCAUAUCUUUCAAAAUGUCCAAAUCUGGCGGGAUCUUCUGAGACUCAAGUCUCUCCUAAACCACCUGUUAGUUACAAUUCUGUUUCCCAGUGUAGAUCGACAUUUAAAAAUCUCAGCACUCCAGACCAGACUGAAAUUUUUCCAGUCCAACCAGCUAAUCAAAACCUUGUGCCCAAGUAUCGAACAGUAGGUGAAAGCCAGGAAAUUUCCCAGAAAAAGUCUCAAGUUUCUGGAAAGCUACCUGCUAAUUACAACCCUGUCACCCAAUUUCCCUCCACAUGUAAAAAUCCAGACCAGACUGAAAUUUUUCCAGACCAACCAGCUAAUCAAAAACAUGCGCCCAAAUAUCAAACAUUGGGUGAAAGCCAGGAAAUUUCCCAGAAAAUGUCUCUAGUUUCUGGAAAGCCACCUGCUAAUCGCAACCUUGUCACCCAAUCUCCCUCCACAUGUGAAAAUCCAAAUCAGACUAAAAUUUUUCCAGACCAACCAGCUAAUGAAAACCAUGCACCCAAGUAUCAAACAGUAGGUAAAAACUGGAAUACUUCCCAGGUAAAAUCUCAAGUUUCUGGUAAGCCACCUGCUAAUCAUAACCCUGUCACCCAAUUUCCCCAAUGUGAAAAUCCCAGCAUCCCUGAUUUCGACGGUGAUUUGACUGUCGCUGUUGCUGUAGCUGCACUGGCGAACACUCAAGAGCAGAGUAGCCUUAUUGACACAGACUUACUGGUGAAGCUUCUGCUGAAACCAGAAGAAUUACAAAAGUUGAUGAGUGCACGUGGACUGGCUACAGACUCUAAACCCGAUAAGGUAAUUAACAAGCCAAUUAAUGAAUACCAAGUUCCCCAUACAGGAUCUGGACCAAUUUUUGGGCCAAAGCCAAUGGCAAAAUCUGUGCCGUUGAUGAUGACUAAGCCUGAAACAUCCGUGAAAAGUAAUUUGGCUAAUGAACAGGGGCCCCCAACUCAUGUAGAAAUUGCAAACAUUAGAGGGAGUAAGCCACUAGUUCAUCCUACUUCAGACCUAAAUCUGGAAAAGAUUAAAAAACUAAUUAACGAAUAUGGAGCACCCAACAAUGUAGGAGGUAAGCCCUUGGCUAAUUCUGAGUUGGUUCCUUCAUCUCGUUCCAAAUAUGAUGUCGUUUUGUCAAGUGCACACCGUCCUACCACCUUGCAGCCUGAGCUGCCGGUAUCACUAAAUUCUGUCCAUACAUCCCCUUUAUCCUCGAUGACUAGUCCUGCCCCUCUUCACAAGGAUAUCAAUUACUACAAGUCCCUGAUCAAGCAACAUGGACAAAAUUAUGAAUCUGUGGUUGAUGAACGCUUACAAAGUAUCAAUCCUCGUGGUAAUACACGAGGACCAGGUUUGUUAAACAACCAAAACCCAAAUCAGCGUUGCCAGACGCCUUGUGCUUUCUUCAAUAGACCUAAGGGAUGCCUUAAAGGUUCCGCUUGUCUCUUCCUGCAUGAUAUGCCCGGACAAAAGAGGUCUGGGGGGAUGUUGGAAGCUGAGCAUUCAAAGAGAAUGAGAUAAAGUGAGGAACUUACUAAUAGGACAUGACGCAAGAGGUAUCUUUUUUCUUAUAUGCAGCAAACUAGUGACAAAGGCAGUUGCACAGAUGUUGAAACUAAAAGCACUUCGCUGUCCCUUCUCCUUGGGGGAAUUUUUGAAAAGCAGACCUUUAAACUUGCAUAAAAAAUGUACAGACUUGGCUUUUAUCUGUAAAAUCUUGGAAGUAGUUUUCUUUUGAAACUUCGAAGUUGGAUGAAACGUUGUGUGUGUUGAGAAAAUUUCUUGUCCGACUGGUUUUACUGAAAUCGUGUAAGUAUUGUGUAGCCCUCCCCUACUUUGAAAACGAUGACAUAAAAGUGUCGUACAGAAUUGGUAUGCUGAUAUCAGUAAAGAAUUCAAGGUGUUAAGUUGAUUGAUACUAUAAUUUAGUGGGAAAUAAAUAAUAAGGUGAUGAUGCAUUUUGAUGGUGAAGUGUUUAUGAAAGGCAGUUAAACAUAUAUAUAGAAUGACAUUAACAAUGAGAUAUGACUGACAUUAUAGGACUUUAAUUAAAAGUAAAGAGUAGAGGGUACUGGUAUAAAAGUUGGUUGGUGAGAAAUGCUGCAUGGCCCCACCACUAGUUGCAGUAGUAAGAGGAAAUAAUAAACUAGUAUUGAUGGCAGAGCACAAUUUACUAGAAUUCAGAGUUACCUGGAGACUCCAGUCUAAAGACAAUAUCUUCGUGACUCAUGACCAGUAGCCGCCGAGUCAGUUGUAGGGAAGACGAGCUGAGUCUUACAUUUCAUCUUAGGCAAGGGUUAAAGCUAGAGUCUUCUUUUCAAACUGCAGAUCCAGCGGGUUCACGUUGGUGGAGGAACUGAAUUGGAAAAAUAAAGGGAUUCAUUAUGCCUACCUAACGGGUUUUGCUUUGGUGGAGGAACUGGAUUGGAGAAAAGAGAGAUUCCUUAUGCCUACCUAAUGGGUUUUGCUUUGGUGGAGGAACUGAAUCGGAAAAAAGAGGCGGCCUACCUAACUGGAUUCGUGUUGGUGGCGGAAAGAAACGAAUUCAUUACGCCCACCUAAUUGGAUUGGUGUUGGUGGAGGAACUAUAUCAUUAGGCCUUGGAUUGAGAAUUCAAAGGAGAAGUAGAUAGAUAGAUCAGCCUUGGUGGUGGAGGAGAUGGAUUGGAAAGGAGAAGGGAUUCAUUAGAUUGGCAAUUUAAACGAGAAAGAGAUAGAUCAACCUCGCUUUCGAACUACAACUUCCACGGAUUCAUUUUGGAAUUAAGUAAAAACUUGCUUAUUCGUUCUGGACAGACAAGUAAACAAGUCAAAUCACCUACGAAACUUGUAAUUAGCUCACUGGCGGAUAAUAAAACAAAUAACUUCAGUUGAUUCUGAGCGGUUAAGCAGCUUGGCCAUGCAUACUUAAUGACACAGCGGAUCUAAGACAAUGAUAAAUCCAUUAAAUAAAAAAGGACAAUUCGAUUUACCUUAUAUAUCUAUCAUAAAUCUAUUAAAUAUAUCUAAAAAAUAUCUGUUCGAAACCUAGAAGCAAAUCGCUCACCUAGUGGUAUUGAAGGAACACACUUAAAACUGUUUGCCUGCCUUCGGGUUUGAUUGCCCUUGGACUCAUAUAAAUAAGUUUUUUUUUUUUUAAUAUAAAAAUGAAAAAGUUGUGAUGUUGAAUCCGCUAUAAGUUUCAACAAAAUGUAUGACCAUUUACGAAGUUGUGUUGCCACAUCAUGAAACCGAUGUUAAGACACCAACAACAUCCACGCAUUUGGACGAUAAAGAUUUGGCCUGA
rnacentral:lncRNA from 1 species